GAUGAACGCUGGCGGCGUGCUUAACACAUGCAAGUCGAACGAAGCACUUAGGAUUGCUUCUUCGGAUGACGUCUUUUGUGUCUUAGUGGCGGACGGGUGAGUAACGCGUGGGUAACCUGCCUCACACAGGGGGAUAACAGUUAGAAAUGACUGCUAAUACAUCAUAACCCGAUAUGAUCGCAUGAUCCAGACGGAAAAGAUUUAUCGGUGUAAGAUGGACCCGCGUUGGAUUAGCUAGUUGCUGAGGUAACGGCCCAUCACGGCGACGAUCAGCAGACGGCCUGAGAGGGAGAACCGCCACAGUGGGACUGAGACACGGCCCAAACUCCUGCGGGAGGCAGCAGUGGGGGAUAUUGCACAAUGGGGGAAACCCUGAAGCAGCGACGCCGCGAGAGUGAAGAAGUAUUUCGGUAUGGAAAGCUCUAGUAGCAGGGAAGAAAAUGACGGUACAUGACGAAGAAGCCCCGGCUAACUACGUG
rnacentral:rRNA from 1 species